UACGUAGGGUGCAGGCGUUGCCCGGAUUUACUGGGCGUAAAGGGCGCGUAGGCGGCAAUUCAAGUCAUCUGUGAAAUCUCCGGGCUUAACCCGGAACGGUCAGGUGAUACUGUUUUGCUAGAGUGCGGAAGGGGCAAUCGGAAUUCUCGGUGUAGCGGUGAAAUGCGUAGAUAUCGAGAGGAACACCAGAGGUGAAGACGGGUUGCUGGGCCGACACUGACGCUGACAGCGCGAAAGCCAGGGGAGCAAACGGG
rnacentral:rRNA from 1 species